rnacentral:rRNA from 1 species
GCUUGUCUCAAAGAUUAAGCCAUGCAUGUCUAAGUAUAAACAACUUUGUACUGUGAAACUGCGAAUGGCUCAUUAAAUCAGUUAUAGUUUAUUUGAUGGUUCUUGCUACAUGGAUAACUGUGGUAAUUCUAGAGCUAAUACAUGCAAUUAAGCCCCGACUUCUGGAAGGGGUGUAUUUAUUAGAUAAAAACCAUCCCCUUUGGGUCUUGGUGAAUCAUAAUAACUUCUCGGAUCGCAUGGCCUUGUGCCGGCGAUGCUUCAUUCAAAUAUCUGCCCUAUCAACUGUCGAUGGUAGGAUAGAGGCCUACCAUGGUUGCAACGGGUAACGGGGAAUUAGGGUUCGAUUCCGGAGAGGGAGCCUGAGAAACGGCUACCACAUCCAAGGAAGGCAGCAGG